rnacentral:rRNA from 1 species
CCUACGGGUGGCAGCAGUGAGGAAUAUUGGUCAAUGGCCGGAAGGCUGAACCAGCCAAGCCGCGUGAGGGAGGAAGGCGCAGAGCGUCGCAGACCUCUUUUGCCGGGGGACAAAAGGCCGGACUCGUCCGGUCCUGAGGGUACCCGGAGAAAAAGCAUCGGCUAACUCCGUGCCAGCAGCCGCGGUAAUACGGAGGAUGCGAGCGUUAUCCGGAUUCAUUGGGUUUAAAGGGUGCGUAGGCGGAUUGAUAAGUUAGAGGUGAAAUGUCCGAGCUUAACUCGGGAACUGCCUCUAAUACUGUUGAUCUAGAGAGUAGAUGCGGUAGGCGGAAUGUAUGGUGUAGCGGUGAAAUGCUUAGAGAUCAUACAGAACACCGAUUGCGAAGGCAGCUUACCAAUCUAUAUCUGACGUUGAGGCACGAAAGCGUGGGGAGCAAACAGGAUUAGAUACCCCUGUAGUC